GACGAACGCUGGCGGCGUGCUUAACACAUGCAAGUCGUACGGUAAGGCCCUUUCGGUGGUGCGCGCGUGGCGGACGGGUGAGUAACACGUGCGUAACCAACCCGCAACUUUCGGAUAACUAAAGUCAACUGAUUCUAGUACUGACUAUGUACUCCUGCCUCAUGCUUGGGGUUGGUAAGCUCCGGCGGUUGGGUGUGGACUCGCGGCCUAUCAGCUUGUUGGUGGGGUAGUGGCUUACCAAGGCGGGGACGGGUAGCCGGCCUGAGAGGGUGACCGGCCACAUUGGGACUGAGAUACGGCCCAGACUCCUACGGGAGGCAGCAGUGGGGAAUAUUGCACAAUGGGCGGAAGCCUGAUGCAGCAACGCCGCGUGCGGGAUGACGGCCUUCGGGUUGUAAACCGCUUUCAGCAGGGACGAAGCGUGUUGUGACGGUACCGGUAGAAGAAGCACCGGCUAACUAGGU
rnacentral:rRNA from 1 species